CGCGCGCCACCGGCCCUCCGCGGGGCAGGGGCUGCUGCGAGCUCGCCGGGCGCCCUUUAGACCGGUGCCCUGCCCACCCUCUCUUUAUCUCUCACUUUUCCCUCCUCUGUUUCUUCCUCGCUGAAGUCCAUUGGUGAAAGAAAAUUCAUGUGAAAGUUCUCAGAGUCGUCCUUGUCUACUCCACUACCAAAUGUUGAAGUUCUUCAAGAAUCAGUCCUUUGGAGGCAUUUAAGGAAAUCUGUUUCUCUUUUGGAUCACUAGCUGCAAAUUAAGCUAACAGAACAGGAGCUCAGCUGGUCACACACAGCAACGAAUACAGACUUUAUAAAGUUCAGAAAAGUUACCAAACAGUGGUAACCAUAACAAGUACCAACAAUGAACUAUGGGGAGGGAGGAGAAUCUGAUUUCCAGAGUUACCACAUUAUAAUACUAUUCAAAAUGUCACAUUUUUAGCAAAGAUUACAUGACAAGGAAAAACCAGAAAAGUAUGGCCCAUACACAGGUAAAAAAAGAAAUUAAUAGAAACUACCCCUGAAGAAGCACAGACUUCGGAUGUACAAAACAAAGACUUUUCAUCAACUCUUUUAGAUAUGCUAGAAGAGCUAAAGGAAACCAUGGACAGAGAACAAAAAAAUUAGGAAAGCAAUGUCUCAUCCAAUACAGAAUAUCAAUAAAGAGAUUGAAAUUGUAGAAAAGAACCAAAUAGAAAUUCUGGAGUUGAAAAGUAUUAUAACUAAAACUGAAAAUUCACUAGAGGUAUUCAGCAGCAGACUGGAGAAGUCAGAAGAAAGAAUCAACAGGCUUCAAGAUAGGUCAAUUAAGAUUAUACAGUCUGAGGAGCAGAAAGGAAAAAGAAUGAAGAAAAAUGAACAGAGCAUAAAAGACCUCUGGGACUCUAUCAAGCAUACCAGUAUAUGCAUGAGGGGAGUCCCAGAAGGAGAAGAAAGAGAGAAAGGGACAUAAUAUUUGAAGAAAUAAUGGUAGAAAAUGUCCCAGCUUUGAUGAAAUACAUGAAUCUAGAUAUUCAAGAGGCUCAAAGAACCCUAAAUAGGGUAAACUCAAAAAGACCCACACCGGAAUGCAAAAGUGAGCUGGGUGUGGUGGCACGUGCCUGUGGUCCCAGCUACUCGAGAGGCUAAGGCAGGAAAAUCGCUUGAACCCAGGAGGCAGAGAUUGCGGUGAGCCGGGAUUGCGCCAGUGCACUCCAGCUGGGCGACAGAGCGAGAUUCCAUCUCGAAAAAAAAAAAAAAAAAAAAAAAAAACUAUUGCUGCAGUCAUUCAGAUGGAAAUGGGGAAAGAAUAAUAUUAACUGAUUUCAAAAAGGACUUGAAGAUGUGAAUCAUCUAUUUUGCUGAAGAAAUCUUAACUCUUUGAAAUUACUUUUUGUUGCUGUUGUCAUACUCUUAGGUGCCAAACUGCGGUAAAUUUUUUAUCAGUGAAGUGGAAGCAUGUGUUUUGUUGUUUUGGGAAUUUUUAUCAAGUAUCUUCAGAGAAGAUUAUUUCCUGCUUUAUCUUCAAAAACUGGAAAGGAAGGGUCAAAGAAAAGACAGUAGCUGGCCGGUCAUGGUGGCUCAUGCCUGUAAUCCCAACACUUUGGGAGGCUGAGGUGGGCAGAUCACCUGAGGUUGGGAGUUCGAGGCCAGCCUGACCAACGUGGAGAAAUGCCAUCUCUACUAAAGAUGCAAGGAUUGGCCGGGCGUGGUGGUGCGUGCCUGUGAUCCCAGCUGCUCAGGAGGCUGAGGCAGGAGAAUCGCUUGGACCUGGGAGGUGGAGGUUGCGGUGAGCUGAGAUCACGCCAUUGCACUCCAGCCUGGGCAACAAGCGAAACUCUGUCUCAAAAAAAAAGAAAAGACAGUAGCUUAUGUUCAUGUCAAGCACCUCUCAUCACAGUCUAGUUCCAAGGAAAAAAUUCCCAGCGUUUUCUACAUUCGGUGCUGCGUCAUCUGAAAUCGGCACAUUCCAUGGAGGAAGGAGUCCUGCUUUGUUGCAUGUAUCCUAGGGUUUAAUGUUGGUAAAUGAGUCACUCUAGCAUUUGUAGAAGGCUCCCUGAGACUCCUGCAGCAGUCGACCAAGCCCAAGGACAUAAUUGAAUCUGGAGAGUCCUGGGGCCUUGUUUUGAAAAAGACUUGAAAUACACAUAGGAAGAAAGGCAUAAAAAUAAAUGUUCACUUGUCUCUGCUGUG
rnacentral:lncRNA from 10 species